rnacentral:rRNA from 1 species
GACGAACGCUGGCGGCGUGCCUAAUACAUGCAAGUAGAACGCACAGUUUAUACUGUAGCUUGCUACACCAUAGACAGUGAGUUGCGAACGGGUGAGUAAUGCGUAGGUAACCUGCCUGGCAGCGGGGGAUAACUAUUGAUAACGAUAGCUAAUACCGCAUAAUAUUGAUUAUUCCUUGGUAAUUGAUUGAACGAUGCUAUUGCAUCACUACCAGCUGGACCUGCGUUGUAUUAGCUAGUAGGUGAGGUAACGGCACACCUAGGCGGCGAUACAUAGCCGACCCGGGAGGGUGAUCGGGCACACUGGGACCGGGACACGGCCCAGACUCCCUCGGGAGGGCGCAGUAGGGGAUCUUCGGAAAUUGGGGGAAGUCUUACCGAGCAACGCCGCGGGGGUGGAGGAAGGUCUCGGGUCGGAAAGGUCUGUUGUGUGGGAAGAAAGGGUGUUAGGGUGGAAAGUUCACGUUGUGACGGUAUCUUAACAGAAAGCGACGGCUAACUACGUG